rnacentral:rRNA from 1 species
GAUGAACGCUGGCGGCGUGCCUAAUACAUGCAAGUCGAGCGAACGGACGAGAAGCUUGCUUCUCUGAUGUUAGCGGCGGACGGGUGAGUAACACGUGGAUAACCUACCUAUAAGACUGGGAUAACUUCGGGAAACCGUAGCUAAUACCGGAUAAUAUUUUGAACCGCAUGGUUCAAAAGUGAAAGACGGUCUUGCUGUCACUUAUAGAUGGAUCCGCGCUGCAUUAGCUAGUUGGUAAGGUAACGGCUUACCAAGGCAACGAUGCAUAGCCGACCUGAGAGGGUGAUCGGCCACACUGGAACUGAGACACGGUCCAGACUCCUACGGGAGGCAGCAGUAGGGAAUCUUCCGCAAAGGGCGAAAGCCUGACGGAGCAACGCCGCGUGAGUGAUGAAGGUCUUCGGAUCGUAAAACUCUGUUAUUAGGGAAGAACAUAUGUGUAAGUAACUGUGCACAUUUUGACGGUACCUAAUCAGAAAGCCACGGCUAACUACGUG